CAAAAUAUAGUUUAUAUUUAAAAUUUUAGUUUUGGAGAUUAAUGAAAUUGUAUUUAAUUAUUUUGA
rnacentral:tRNA from 1 species